AUUCUCCUCUAAUAAUUCCUGAUACUCAAUUCUUAUUUCAUUUUCUGUUUCUAUGGAAAAGGCCUAGAUUAUCUAGCACACUGUCUAAUUGCAUCUUGAAAACUGCUAGUGAUGGUAAGUCUACCAUGUCCUUGAGUAGGUUGUUCCAGUGAUUCAUAUCCACAGUUCUGCCUGGUCAUUAUUACUUCAUAUAUUACUAUGAUUACUUCAUAAUCCUCCAUUAUGAUGAAUGUGCUGGUGUUUUGCUUUCCAGCAGCCUCAGUCUUUCCCCAGCUGCUCAUGAUUGGUGAUAUCCUCUACUGAUGACACUUAGCACAUAGGAAUCAGCUGUAGAGCUCUUGUGGUCUGCACCAGAUAUCAGCCUGUCCAGCAGAAGCUUUUAACAACAUUUUCUUGAAGGUUCUUUCAUACACAGAUAUGAUGCCAACUUCCUCAUUAAAAGAAAGCGAUUAAAGUCUUAACCAAUUUUAUUUAGUUAUGAAAUUCAAUAAAGUUUCCGAACACUUACCUUUCUGAAAAUGUAAGGGUUAGCCUAUGCUGAAACACAGAGUAGCUGGCAAGCUGAAAACACAUUGCUGACCAGAGAAGGAAAGAGAUGAUCAAUAAACAAUGUAUACAAGUGUUAGUAAAUCAUAA